GCUAGCUCACGCACUGCCUCCAUCGAUUGCUCGUAAGGUCUGUUGAACAUGAAUGAAAUAUUUAGUCAAACAUUGAGAAAGCAAACUGAAGGAUCCUUUGGCCUUCCACAUGAAACACCUCAUUCUGAAGGCACACAACAUGGGUGGCAUUUGAUGAUGAAUCAUCAGGCCAUAUAAAAAAUGGAUUUAGAGAAAUUGCUAGAGAUAUUACGAAACAAAUGUGAGCUGCUAGGGGCGGUGGUAAUAGGAAACAUGUUUUCCAACCAGACACCAGCACAACUUUGUCGGAUGAAAGCUCACAGUUUAUGUCAUCUCUUACUAAGCUCAACACUUCGGUGACAAAUCCAUAGGUCUUCAGGACUAUUUGACGGUUGGGCUUCUUGCAGCUUCAACUCUUCAUCAGCACAUUCAAAUGAAAAUGAAGCAAAGAAACAUCUCUCUAGCACAUUCAAAUGAAAAACUGGAAGCCUCUGGCCGACUGCUGCAAUGCUGCUCAUAGUGGUCGAAUCUUAAGUUAACAACUGAGAAAACAGGUGUUAUGUACUGAUUAAGAACAGAGAAAAUAAUUGUUAAUUUGGCUCACUACUCAGAUCGGUUUCAGACAUAACAUCAUUGUUUCUGAAGAUUUAUUUCAGAACUUUAACUUCAGUAAGGACAGGAAAUCAGCAAAAUGUAUAUAUUCAGACAUCAAAGCUAUCUAAAUUCACACAACACAUCUGAGCCACAUUACAAAAUCCUACAAAGAUCUAAGACUACAAUCGCGCCUACAAAAAUAAACCAAGUAGUUAUCACCAAUAAUUACUUGCCCUCCUAAUUAAAUUCUAUUGUAAUUCGCGGGAAUUUAAUUAAUUUAGUAGCCAAUGGAAUGCAUGUACGGGACCACUCUUACCAUAUAAAUUUAGCAGUUGCUUUCACGAACAGAGAGAUGUGGAUGGAGAAUUCCAUGGGUGUAUGUUGGACCAGAUGAGUGGAUAGAGUUCUUGCUGCAGAUUGCUAGACAUUAGCUGCUUUUUAGAUAGACCGGAACUUCACAUUCACCAGAGAAAACAACACUAUGUUGAUCUCCCAUCCUGAAGCGUACAAGGAGCAGGUUACCACAUGUUCAUAGGAUUAUUACAUAUCACCAUUAGACAAAAAUCAUGUGCAACAACUACGAACCUUAUAUCUUCAUGUUCGUCCUGUACCUUAUUGCCUUGUUCGUCCAAGGCCAAUAGAGAUGGACGGAGCGCUUCGAUUUGAUUCAGCCAGCAAGGACCUCGUGCUCACAGCUAUCUCUCCUCUCCCCGUCCCCACGUCCUGGACCACCACCACCCGCGAUCCUAUUCCUGUUGCGCUGCUCCAAUCCAGACGGAAUCCACCAAUAGACGAUCUUACCGCGAAACCCAGCACCCUGUCCCCUGCCACAGUGCCGCCCAGUGUGACCCCUUCGUGCUUCCGCCAAGGCCAACAUUGGAG
rnacentral:lncRNA from 1 species